rnacentral:rRNA from 1 species
UACGGGGGGAGCAAGCGUUGUUCGGAUUUACUGGGCGUAAAGGGCGCGUAGGCGGUCAGCACAAGUCAGUUGUGAAAUCUCCGGGCUUAACUCGGAAAGGUCAACUGAUACUGUGCGACUAGAGUGCAGAAGGGGCAACUGGAAUUCUCGGUGUAGCGGUGAAAUGCGUAGAUAUCGAGAGGAACACCUGAGGCGAAGGCGGGUUGCUGGGCUGAUACUGACGCUGAGGCGCGAAAGCCAGGGGAGCAAACAGG